rnacentral:rRNA from 1 species
AGGACGAACGCUGGCGGCGUGCUUAACACAUGCAAGUGGAGCGACGAACCAGGGCUUGCCCUGGGGCAGAGCCGCGAACGGGUGAGUAACACGUGGGUUACCUGCCUCGAUGACCGGGACAACCCGAGGAAACUCGGGCUAAUACCGGAUGUGCCCGCAAGGGGAAAGGAAGCUUCGGCCUCCGCAUCGAGAUGGGCCCGCGGCCCAUUAGCUUGUUGGUGAGGUAACGGCUCACCAAGGCUUUGAUGGGUAGCUGGUCUGAGAGGACGAUCAGCCACACUGGGACUGAGACACGGCCCAGACUCCUACGGGAGGCAGCAGUGGGGAAUCUUGCGCAAUGCGCGAAAGCGUGACGCAGCAACGCCGCGUGGGGGAAGAAGGCUUUCGGGUUGUAAACCCCUUUCAGUUGGGACGAAGCCUCAUCGGUGAAUAGCCGCGUGGGGUGACGGUACCUUCACAAGAAGCACCGGCUAACUACGUGCCAGCAGCCGCGGU